rnacentral:rRNA from 1 species
CCUACGGGCGGCAGCAGUGGGGAAUAUUGGACAAUGGGGGCAACCCUGAUCCAGCCAUGCCGCGUGUGUGAAGAAGGCCCUCGGGUUGUAAAGCACUUUCAGUGAGGAAGAACGCCUGGUGGUUAAUACCCAUCAGGAAAGACAUCACUCACAGAAGAAGCACCGGCUAACUCCGUGCCAGCAGCCGCGGUAAUACGGAGGGUGCGAGCGUUAAUCGGAAUUACUGGGCGUAAAGCGCGCGUAGGUGGCUUGAUAAGCCGGUUGUGAAAGCCCCGGGCUCAACCUGGGAACGGCAUCCGGAACUGUCAAGCUAGAGUGCAGGAGAGGAAGGUAGAAUUCCCGGUGUAGCGGUGAAAUGCGUAGAGAUUGGGAGGAAUACCAGUGGCGAAGGCGGCCUUCUGGACUGACACUGACACUGAGGUGCGAAAGCGUGGGUAGCAAACAGGAUUAGAUACCCUGGUAGUC